rnacentral:rRNA from 1 species
GACGAACGCUGGCGGCGGGCUUAACACAUGCAAGUCGAACGGAAAGGCCCUGCUUGUGUGUGGUGCUCGAGUGGCGAACGGGUGAGUAACACGGGAGUAACCUGCCCUGGACUUUGGGAUAACUUCAGGAAACUGGGGCUAAUACCGGAUAGGAGCUCCUGCUGCAUGGUGGGGGUUGGACAGUUUCGGCGGUUGGGGAUGGACUCGCGGCUUAUCAGCUUGUGGGUGGGGUAGUGACUUACCAAGGCUUUGACGGGUAGCCGGCCUGAGAGGGUGACCGGCCACAUUGGGACUGAGGUACGGAGCAGAGUGCUACGGGAGGCAGCAGUGGGGAAUAUUGCACAAUGGGCGGAAGCCUGAUGAAGAAACGCCGCGUGCGGGAUGACGGCCUUCGGGUUGUAAACCGCUUUAGCCUGUGACGAAGCGUGAGUGACGGUAAUGGGAAAAGAAGCACCGGCUAACUACGUG